rnacentral:tRNA from 1 species
GGGGUUGUGGCUCAGAGGUAGAGUGCUUGCCUGGCAUGCAUGAGGCACUGGGUUCGAUCCUCAGAACCACA